UACGUAGGGUGCAAGCGUUAAUCGGAAUUACUGGGCGUAAAGGGCUCGUAGGUGGCCAACUAAGUCAGACGUGAAAUCCCCCGGCUUAACCUGGGAACUGCGUCUGAUACUGGGAGGCUUGAGUAUGGGAGAGGGAUGUAGAAUUCCAGGUGUAGCGGUGAAAUGCGUAGAUAUCUGGAGGAAUACCGGUGGCGAAGGCGGCAUCCUGGACCAUUACUGACGCUGAGGCGCGAAAGCUAGGGGAGCAAACGGG
rnacentral:rRNA from 1 species